rnacentral:lncRNA from 1 species
GGCAUGACAGGCAUGCACCUGGGACUGUCACACUCUAGCCUGUGAUGGGAACUCAUGUGCAUCUGUCCAGGGCUGAGCAUGGUUAUGCAGAGCUGUGCUCCAGGCUCCCUGCAGGGCUGUGGAGGCUUCUGCUGCCCAGCAGCCCUGGUGCCAUGGCCAGUGCUCCUCCCAGCCGAGGGCAGGCAGCUGCCCAUUGCUGUAGGCUGACCUUAUUUUCUUCUUUUUGUACAUGUAACUUUAUCUGAAGUAUGUUGGAUUGUUUUUCAAUUAUGAAACUAACAGGUCCUCUAGAACCUUCAAACAAUUAGUACAAUUCCUAAAGAGUAAGUGAGCAUGCGCAGAAAUUGGGCUAAUGUUUUGGGAAGAAUGAUGUUAGAUGAUAUUUUCAUGGCUUGAGUAUAUCAUCCAACAUGAAGUUACAUUUUAUUACUUACAAAAUAAUAAAAUAAUGAAGCAAUACCAUGGACUGAGCCAAAAUAUAUCCUCAGGAUCUUAGGCAUACUGUAAUAAAUCUGCAUCACUUUGGGUCAUUCCCCUCAUAUUUCCUUUGAGAUAUUUUCUAUGUGAGGCUUAAGAAGAACAGAAUAUUCUAUAAAGAAAACCUUGUGAUCUGUGCAGUAUAAAAUUGAAUGGGUUCAUUCAGAAAUCAGAAAUUCUAUUGAAAGGUAUUUGCCUGAGCCAAAUAAAACCUAUUUCUAGGUGUCCUGGUGAAGACAAGCUUUUAUCUUUAUAUGUCUCAUUGUCUGUGGGUUUGUUGUUGUUGUUGUUAGAAUGAAAUUCAUAAGUUGGCAAACCAUUUUAUCAGAUGUGUAACUAGAUGCCAUUGAAAUUAUCCACUUUUAAAUGGUAGACAUUUUGUAUAUGAACACUGCCUGUCUGCACCUUUUUUAAAAAUAGGUCUGGGCUCAGGAGCCCAAAUACCAAUGGUUAUCUGGAACAUAUUCUUCAGUUUGGCCUAUCCGCCAAUAUGCCCUGAGGUCAUCUGUUCUAUCAUCUUCAUUACCCCUGCUCCCUCACUAGCUUUCAUAGAACCCACAUGCUGUCUAUGAGUCAGGGUCACCAAUCCCACAACAUUUCGUUUGAGUAUCCAAAGUCCCACGUUUCACUUCGCCAUGCCUGACAUAGGCAGUAAUAUUUAUCAGGAAAUGUGAAAUUUUCAAAGAUCCAAUUCUAUGUGCUCCUUUCUCAAAGGGCAUUAGGCAGGGAUAUAGCAUACAUAAAUAUUAAGUAAAGACCAUAGUUUUAAAAAGUCAUAGAUACUUUUUAUUUUGGAGGAGGUAUGAUUUAAUAGGGAAUUCCAAUAGCUACGUAAUAGUGAAAUGGUAAGUCUUCCAUCCAUUUUAUUUUAUUGUUUCUGAUGAUUUUUAUGAGUAAGGAUAAUAUACUUCCUUGUUCCAAUGCAGAUGUUGCCCACUUCUGUGAAUGGAUGCACGGUGUCACCUGCUACUUGGAUGUCUGCAUGUUGUGCUUGACACUAAUAUCGUACUUGGUAGGUGGCAGAAAGUCAAUACUGAAGUUAAGCUCUUGUGUUCUAGCAGCUGUGCUGAAGAUCCUUGGUGUGCCACCUUCUGCAAUCCAUGUUGCUCUCUUCAUGUUCCUUAUUGACUUCCUGGUGAUGAGCAUCAUGGUCUCCUGGUCUUUGAGAAUGGCCAAGCAUUGCUCUGUGAAUGUGGAAGACAGUCAUGUGGAAGGCUCCAGGGAGGAGGGAUCAUUGAUCAUGUACUCUAAUCCAUGUGCCUCUUUAAUGACCUGUUUUUCUUCUUGGGUUUUAAGGGAGACAGUGCCCUCAAACACUUCUGUGCAGCUGGGAAUGCAGGCUUCUGCUUCACCUUGAAGGAAGCAUUAAUGAUUCCUUUCCAGAAGACAUGAGAAGAGAGAAGUGAGCCUCUGGUAUCAUGCAGAUUCCUUGCAUUGCCCAUGGGCUAGAAGAGAGAAGAGUUCCUUCAUGAGAUUUGAUCCCCUUUUUCCUGAAAAGUUCCACACACAGGUGAGUCCCCAGCAUGUUUAGACAUCAUUUCAGACAUCUUUGUUGACAGAAAUGAAUCACACCCCCUGAUGAUGUGGAAGAGCUAUAGAUGGGUUUGCUAUGAAUUUUCUAUUUCAUUUCUCAGGGCCUGAGUCAAGCCAGCCAUUGUGCUGUCAGCGCAUGAGCUGCUGGUCAAAUGUGAGGAAGUGGUCUUGCUUUAUGAAAGCACCACCCUGAUUCAGUGAGCCAGAGGCAGCCUGCAGUCCCUCAGUUUUCCUGUAAAGGCAGAUUGCUGUGGAUGGCCUCUGGCCUCGUCAUGCAGCCCUGCUCAGAGUAGGGGAUUGAGGGUCCAGGCAGAUCCCUAGUUCCUUUUGACCUUUAUUGCCAUUGGGCUGCCCCAGGGUCCUUGGACUCUACCUGGUCUUCUGGCCUAGGUCAGGGGAUGUGAGGUUUGGAAUCCCUCUCUGUGGCAGGAUCCCAGGCCCCCCAGCCAUUUGAGGGCAGGCACAGCCUUCCCUAAUUGUGUUAGAGGGGGAGACUUCUCCCACCCAUCCUCAUCCAUGCUCAUCCCACAUUUUGUAGCUUGACACCUGAGGACCUUUAUUCAUUGACUUAGUGGUUAGUGAUGAUGGUUGCUAAGACUAAGUAUCUCUUUCAAAGUCACAUCACUUGCAUGGUUGGGCUAGAGCAUGGAUCUUCGUAAUUGAUUUCAUGGGACUCUCUCAUGGAAACUGUGACUGCCUCCUAAACACACACUCUACAUUUGGAGUGUCAAAAUUCUUGGCACUGCCUCCUUGGCAAGUGUAUCUUGUCUUCUACUUGGGAAUUUCACAAAUAUUUUCGUUUGGUUUGUGGAGGUCAUGCAGAAGGGAUUUCAUUUGAAAUAGCCCAAACAAGAAAUACCAGUUGUCUUUUUCACACAUGGAUGUGUGUAAUGAACAUCCCUUUCUGUGUGUUUGCAUGAGUUGCUCCUUUGAAUUUGUUGAAGAAUGGUUAGCUGGGGAGCAAGGUAACGAGAGAUGGAUAUCAAUGGUUGUCAAGUAUUCUGAAGUGAAGAAUGUAUUGAGGAUGUGAAGGCUUUUCUAGCCAGUUCCUAUGGCUCAGUCAGGGAUCAGUCAGAGGAUUCUGUCUGUUAGACUCUUUGGAACAGAUGUCAAAGUGGCCUGGUCUUACCCUGUCCAGGACUGAAUGCUGAGCUUGAGUGGGAGCUUCUUGUCAUUUCAAGCAUUUCCAUGAGUCUGUCCUCUGUUCUCUUGUAUCCAAGUGGUUUCUAACAGGAAAGCAGAACAAAAAUUGAAAGUAUGGUGAUUGAUUAUUUAUACCAAUGUUAUUUCAAUCAACUUUGUAUAAUACGAAAUUAACUUUCUGCUAGUAAGAUUUCAUAUGUGAGGAAAUAAUGAAAAUAUUGGGGUUAGGGGAUGAGAAUAUGCAAAUCAAACAUUUUUGAGCACCAAGACCCGUUUUUUGUUUUUGUUUUUUUAACUUAAAUAAUGAAGUGCCAGAAGACCACACCUGCCAUUCAACCUCAACAACCUCCAGGUCCAGCCUCCAGGUGGCCCGUUUCACCAGGGUGUGUGGGACCACACUGUCCUGGGAUGAGAGAGCAGUACCCACGAAUGUUGGUACAGAGUAGAUAUUGCUAGAGACAGUGGGGAGGUAGUGGCACAUGAGGAAGGGAAGAGCUCUCAGGAUGGGAAGAGGGGGCCGCUUCGAGACUCAUUGGGCAUGGCACGAGGCUGCUGGGUGUGGUGUUGGCCUGGGCCCACUGAGUGGGGCAGAUCCAUGCUCUGUGUCCCUCUACCCUCCUCUGUAGCCUGUGCUGGCAGCAGAUCAGGGAAUUGGGGUCAGAAGUGCUCCCAGUAACACAGGCACCAGCCCCCAGUGUGUGCCUAGCCCUUUCCCUACCUGGCCUGACUUAGUGCUUGUCUUGCCUCAGGGCUGAGACCCUACAGUCUCUGAUGAGUGUGUCUGGGGUCCAGAUCCAACCUGCAUGGCCAACAUGCUCAGACCUUCAGCUGGGUCCUAGGCUGCUGCAACCAAACCCUGUCAAUUGGGUGGCCCACAACAGAGGAAGUGUCUUCCGUUGAGCUCCAGAGGCUCAACACAGUAGGUGUUGGGCUGUCCCAGUGCCAUAACCCCUCCCAGGUUUCAAGGGGACUGUCCCCCCAACUCUGUCAGCCCUUGCCCACUCUCCUACUGCUGUCCAUGAUCUGUGGUUCCCAUAUGGGCAUCCCGACCUGGCUCCAACCUCACAUAGGCUGUAUCCCCAAGUCUCCCUGGUCUCUGGGUCCAGACUCCCCUCUUCCUACAAGAAUAUAAGAUAUUAGAUUUGGGCCCAGUUGAUGCUGUGUUCCAUCAUGUGAGCUCUUAGCUUCAUCACUGUACAAAGACUCUUUUUCCACGUAAGUUCACAGGACUUUUGGGUGGCUAAGAAUUUUCAGGGGACACUUUUCUAAUGAGUACACUUUCCUUUCUUCAGAUCUCUCCCCACUGAGCCUUCUUCUCAUCCUUGUCCUAGUUCCUUUAUGGCAAGUUCCCUCCUUAUGGCUGAGAGGACCUAGUGACCCCUGGAUUCACACAUUGUCUUUAAUCACCAACACACUGCAGAAUUCUCCAUGGGACUGCGGUGUUUUGCAUUGGAACCCACCCCCUGACCUCUAAAAGUGGUCUAGACAAUUGGGUUGACUCCCUCCCUCCUGAACCUCUUUGAUGCCCUUUAAAGUAAGUUAUUCUUUUGGAUUCCUUCCACAAGUAGGCAAGUCCUUGGAUCCCCUGCUAGAAAGUCUUCCAGCCUGAAGGUCAGAUGUGUCCAGAUGUUGAGUUGAAGGAUAUCAUCCUAGAAGCCCUCAUCCUGGCUGCAGCGUUUCCUCCCCUCAAUGCAAAGCAAGAAAGUGCAGUUGGCUCUGUACCCAUUCUUCUGCAUCCAUGGUCCUCACCAGCUGGAAAUCCAAACUAUCAGGAAAGGAGUUGUGUCUCUCUGGACAGAUACUUCUCUCCUCAUUGUUUCCUGGAUCUUACAGUGUUACAGAGAAUGACACUGCCCUUUCAUUGUAUUAGGUGUCAGAAGUCAUCUAGAGAUAAUGGAAGUGCUACAGGAAGAAGAUAUACAGCGUUUAGAUGCAAAUACUCUGGCAUUUUUGUAAGAGACGAACCUGUGUGGACUGGUGUUUUGGGCAGACUUUGAACAAAUCUCCCUUGAAUUUCUUGUAACGUUUCUGGUUUCUGGACUUGGGAGUGUUCAGUGUGAGUCAGCCUCAUGGGGAUGUGAUAGGGGGGCAGUCGGAGCUGUUGUGCAGAACCUCAGUGAUGGCUUGUAAGGCCACAUGCAACACUGCAAGCAGGAGCCGAGAAGGGAGCCCUCUCCCCAUGUGUUCAGCUUAACUCUUGUCUUAUCCAAAAUCAUGACUUGUGAAAUGUUGCAGAAAUGGACUCAUGCCAAGAAGUUGGGAUGUUCUGGGGAGCAUGGGCUGUCAUUCUAUUUUGUCUCUGCAUUAUGAUGUGUUAGCGGGUGGGAACUUGAAGAUGUGCUUAGGCCAUGGAUUCUCCUUCCCUGGGAAAGGGCUUCUCAAAGCAGCCCUUGUCCCUGUUUCACCUGCUUCCCCAGGAGGACACAACAAGAACGUUCUUACAAGUUGGCCCCCAGUCUUGGUCUUCCAGCCUCCCAAGUUUGAGAAAUAAAAUCUGUGCUAUGAAUUACCCAGUGUCUUGUAUUCUGCCAUCACAACACAAACUAUGCUAAGAUGAGUCAAUCAGCAGUCUCCCAAGUGUUUACAUUCUGGUAAUUGACACCAAACAUCCGUUUUGUAAUUAAACCAUUUUGGAGUACACAGUUGAGUGGCAUUAACCAUGUUCAUGUUGGUGUAUAGGUGUCGCCACCCUGCAUCUCCAGAACUCACGUGAACAUACUCUUGCCAUCAGUGCUGAAUUCUAGUGCCCUUGAGGCCCAGGAAAAGAACAUUGUACUUUA